GCUCGGGGAGUUAUGCUAAUGGGUGUGCGGUGUGACAGCCGAUGGCCUCAGUCAAUCAGAAACGCCUCUCAUCUCGUAAUCCGAAGGCGGAAGCAGGCCGGGGAUGCCACAGUGCAAUGACAGCUAAAUAUAUAGUAUAAUGACCCACAGCCGCUGACGAAUGGCAACAUAUUUGAGCGCACACGUGCGAAUUGCAACUCAGACGGAAAACGCAAAGAUUCAAGUUGUGUGAAGACGAGCAAAAUGAGGAGUGAUCACAUCUUUAAUGGCGAGAGAAACAGCAUGGAAGAUAGUUUUGCUAAAAGGAAAAGGCGAAUCCGUCCGACUUCGCCACUGCUGGGACUUUCUAAAGGGACGGAAACACAGCAGCAACAGCCUCUAAGCCUCCCUUAGCUGCGUCCAUUUCCAUAAGUGCUGCUGGCUGUCUGAGCCACGCCAGAAACACUGGGAGGCUAAAUUCCCCGGCAUAUCAUUUUCCCCCCCGCUUCGCUCCUCGCUCUCACCUCUUCCGAACCAAAAGUUCAUUACCAUGCAGUCCGCCUUGGAGAAAGAGGAGCAGCAAACGAAAGAGGAACUGGGGAGCUCUGUGGCUACAGGGUCGACACACACACAGAGAGAGAAAACACACACACACACACACACACACUUACUCACGUGAGCAGGCACUGGGGAAUCCUUCACUAAGCACCAGAGGUGCGGUAGGUGAUCCGUCAGACAACUGACAGCCCUGCAUCUGGCUAACCAUCUGGUUAAGGAGCACCGCACACAUCCCACAUAAGCGCCGCUUGUGACCUCACGUCUUGACAUACUUUAGAGUCAAGAAUGGAGGUAAAAGCUGUACAAGUCUUCAGGUGUUUGAUUUUUUAUUUUUUGGAAGUUAUGAAUGAAUGGACAGGAUGCACAACAAUGGCAUGGAACAAGAUGCCAGGAGUUCAAAGAAGGACAACGAUCUGACUUCCAGGAAAAAACAACUUCAUCAUCUCUGCUGGAAACCUGAAUAUCAGCAUGUAAUCAGAACUUUUGACUGUUUAGUCUGACAGAUGAAACAACAAGGCUGCAAAUUCAGUUCUCAUCCAAGCAGAUGUGAUAGGGAUAGUGUUGCUUCACUAUCCCCAACAUUUGUUUAGGGAUCAUGAAGCAACACUUGCAAUCCCUUACUGCCAAGAGUCAAAAUCUGCCGUGGGGCAAAGACCCCAACCCUCAGUUUACCACCGUAGACCAGAUUUUGUGGAUCAAAUUGUGACUCUAGAGCAACUUUUCAGCCAUAUAGGGUCCGUGUUGAAGUUAGCGAAUCUGCUUUGCACAAAUUACUAAAUAAAAAUAUAUUUUUAAAAGAAGA